CCCAAAAUAGUUCAGUUGGGAGAGCGUUAGACUACAGAUCGAAAGUCCUUGGUUCGAUUCCGGGAUUCGGCA
rnacentral:tRNA from 1 species